UACGUAGGGUGCGAGCGUUUGUCCGGAAUUAUUGGGCGUAAAGAGCUCGUAGGCGGCUUGUCGCGUCGUCCGUGAAAACUUGGGGGCUCAACCCCCAAGCUUGCGGUCGAUACGGGCAGGCUCGAGUUCGGUAGGGGAGGCUGGAAUUCCUGGUGUGAGCGGUGAAAUGACGCAGAUAUCAGGAGGAACACCGGUGGCGAAGGCGGGUCUCUGGGCCGAUACUGACGCUGAGGAGCGAAAGCGUGGGGAGCGAACAGG
rnacentral:rRNA from 1 species